rnacentral:rRNA from 1 species
UACGGGGGGGGGCAAGCGUUAAUCGGAAUUACUGGGCGUAAAGCGUGCGCAGGCGGCUUUGCAAGACAGAUGUGAAAUCCCCGGGCUUAACCUGGGAACUGCAUUUGUGACUGCAUGGCUGGAGUGCGGCAGAGGGGGAUGGAAUUCCGCGUGUAGCAGUGAAAUGCGUAGAUAUGCGGAGGAACACCGAUGGCGAAGGCAAUCCCCUGGGCCUGCACUGACGCUCAUGCACGAAAGCGUGGGGAGCAAACAGG